UACGUAGGGUCCGAGCGUUGUCCGGAAUUAUUGGGCGUAAAGGGCUCGUAGGCGGUCUGUCGCGUCGGGAGUGAAAACUUACAGCUUAACUGUGAGCGUGCUUCCGAUACGGGCAGACUUGAGGUAUUCAGGGGAGAACGGAAUUCCUGGUGUAGCGGUGAAAUGCGCAGAUAUCAGGAGGAACACCGGUGGCGAAGGCGGAUCUCUGGGCCUUACCUGACGCUGAGGCGCGAAAGCUAGGGGAGCAAACAGG
rnacentral:rRNA from 1 species